AAAUGCGAUAAGUAGUGUGAAUUGCAGAAUUCAGUGAAUCAUCGAAUCUUUGAACGCACAUUGCGCCCCUUGGUAUUCCAUGGGGCAUGCCUGUUCGAGCGUCAUUUGUACCCUCAAGCUCUGCUGGGUGUUGGGUGUUUGUCCCGUCUCCGCGCGUGGACUCGCCCCAAAGUGAUUGGCAGCCGGCGUACUGGUCCCGGAGCGCAGCACAUGUCGCGCAAACGAGUGCCUUGGUACGGCGGCGUCCAUAAGCCCCUCUCUCACGCUCUUGACCUCGGAUCAGGUAGGGAUACCCGCUGAACUUAAGC
rnacentral:misc_RNA from 1 species